rfam:Glycine max cultivar Williams 82 chromosome 4, whole genome shotgun sequence.
AAGAUAAAAGUCAGUCAACCAACCAAGGAUGUCUGCCAAUAAACCAAUCUAAGGACUUCAUGUUCACUUUAGACAAAGUCCUACGAAUGGGAAUAGUUAGGCAACCCAUCCUUGGCUACCCGACAUGACUCUUCAUCU